AGUGAACGCUGGCGGUAGGCCUAACACAUGCAAGUCGAACGGCAGCACAGUAAGAGCUUGCUCUUACGGGUGGCGAGUGGCGGACGGGUGAGGAAUACAUCGGAAUCUACUUUUUCGUGGGGGAUAACGUAGGGAAACUUACGCUAAUACCGCAUACGACCUACGGGUGAAAGCAGGGGAUCUUCGGACCUUGCGCGAUUGAAUGAGCCGAUGUCGGAUUAGCUAGUUGGCGGGGUAAAGGCCCACCAAGGCGACGAUCCGUAGCCGGUCUGAGAGGAUGAUCAGCCACACUGGAACUGAGACACGGUCCCGACUCCUACGGGAGGCAGCAGUGGGGAAUAUUGGACAAUGGGCGCAAGCCUGAUCCAGCCAUACCGCGUGGGUGAAGAAGGCCUUCGGGUUGUAAAGCCCUUUUGUUGGGAAAGAAAAGCAGCAGGUUAAUACCCCGCUGUUCUGACGGUACCCAAAGAAUAAGCACCGGCUAACUUCGUG
rnacentral:rRNA from 1 species